UACGAGGGGGGCGAGCGUUUGUUCGGAAUUAUUGGGCGUAAAGGGUGCGUAGGCGGUUUGGUAAGUCUUAUGUGAAAUCUACAGGCUCAACUUGUAGUCUGCAUGAGAAACUGCCGGGCUUUGAGUAUGGGAGAGGUGAGUGGAAUUCCUGGUGUAGCGGUGAAAUGCGUAGAUAUCAGGAGGAACACCUGUGGCGAAAAGCGGCUCACUGGACCAUAACUGACGCUGAUGCACGAAAGCUAGGGGAGCAAACAGG
rnacentral:rRNA from 1 species